rnacentral:rRNA from 1 species
UACGGGGGGGAGCAAGCGUUGUUCGGAUUUACUGGGCGUAAAGGGCGCGUAGGCGGCCACCGCAAGUCGGUUGUGAAAUCUCCGGGCUUAACCCGGAAAGGUCAAUCGAUACUGCGGGGCUAGAGUGCAGAAGGGGCAACUGGAAUUCUCGGUGUAGCGGUGAAAUGCGUAGAUAUCAAGAGGAACACCUGCGGCGAAGGCGGGUUGCUGGGCCGACACUGACGCUGAUGCGCGAAAGCUAGGGGAGCGAACGGG